ensembl:lncRNA
CCCAGUUCUGGAACCAGUAGAAGCUCUCCUCCCUCCCCCAGCUAAUCUGUUCUGGCAGCUUGAAGCUGGCAUGCCCUGGGCCAUAUCACCCAGAAGCAAGCUCCGGGUGCCUGAGGUCAGAAUACCCUGCUUGGUGACUUGGACACACCCCUUAGCAGCUGAUGCUUCUAGACAGAUCCCACCCUGUCCCUGGCUCUGCAAAAUGACAGCAGUCCCCUGAGCGCGCUGCUAGCUCCCAGGUUUGCUGUGAGGUCGGAACAGAAGUGUUUGCCAACACUUAAACAGUGCUGACCUCGGGCCAGGAGCCGUCUCAUGCAUGCAAACCGUUCAGAUCCUCAUGACUCAGGGGAGAAGGUGGUAUGCCCUGAUGUGCUUCUACUCAGGAAGCCUGUUACAUAAUCUGCACUCCGUCCACACGUGGAAAUAAUCACGGCUCAGCAGAAUGGGCUCGGGGGCAUGAUGAAUGGUCUGUAGGAUCGUCAGCUGACGGCCAGCUGCUCCUGAAGUGACCUGAGGGACUGCCAUAGCUCAGGUUCCCAGCCCUUCCCGGGAAAGUGGCCCUGCCUGGUGUUCAGGAAAAGUCCUAACUCAGCUCCGUGUCGGGGCGUUUAUGGUGUGAGUGCCUGGAUCAUCGUCUUGCUUACAGUCUGCACACCCAAGGCUGCUGAGAGCCACCCUGAGUCCACCUGCAGCAUCCUAGAAGGCCAACAGCCUGGUCUGCCUCUACAGGAAGCCCUUUCUCGUCCUUGGAGAGGCUCAUCAGCACAUCUGGGCACUAGCCUCUUCUGGGUCUUCUGCCAAGGGUUUUCAGGUGAAGAGAAAGGGAGCCAAAGACACCGGGCAAAGGGAUCUGGAAAGACAUGGUAGGGGCAGAGGCCUGAGGCCCCAGGAUCCUGCAGCUGUUCCAACCUAUCCACUGUAGCCCACUGAGUCAUGGUGUUGUGACUCUGCCCCCCAUCCUCAGGUAUAAGUACCCACACACUCUGAUGCCCACUGGUGAGGGGAGAGCCAAACACAUGCUCUAGGGAUCAGGCACAAGCCUUUAUUCCUGAAAACCAACUGGUUUAAGGUGAGCUGGGUUUCAAUCAUCAUACGUAAUGAUUAUGGCGAGUAUGACCACCUUUCUCUGUAACUUUUAAUAUCUGUCAAGCCCGGUGAUGCAUGCUUGUAAUCCCAGUUACUCAUGGAGCUGAGGCAGGGGGAUUAGACAUUCAAGGCUUGCCUGGGCUACAGAGUGAGUUCUAUCCAGGGCUCCAGAACCUGUAUAUAGACUCUGUUUCAAAGUGAAAAAUAAAAAGACUGUGGCUAUCGCUUAACGGUAGAGAAAAAUAAAUAAACAACCAAAUAAGGCUGAGGGUGUACUCAGUGGGUAGAGCACAGGACCCCUCCCACCUCUGGUAUCUGCUCACCCCCAGAGCCUGCCCAGGCCCAGGUCCUGCCCAGUACUCCGCACCUUCCUUGGGAGUUCAUAGGUCCUGGAUUUUCUGAGUACAGCUCAAGGCCCAGAGGACACGGGCCCCAAAGCAGUAACCAGAGCUGGCUCAGUGACUGAGAGCAGUAGGAACAUCGUUUCUUGGCAACCGUGGACAGCACACAAGAUCCAGCUAAUCACCGGUACCAGCAGGUCAGUCCUCCCACAGGCUCCAGAGCGGCCCCUGCUGGCCAGCAGCAGGAGUCAUUUCUACCCCAGCAUGCCUUAGGUUCUACCCUGAGCUAGAGGCUCUUUUCCCUUCUACUUCCUGUUUCCUCAAAAAAAAAAAAAAAAGUUAC